rnacentral:tRNA from 1 species
GCUGUAGCUUAACGGUAAAGCUCCUGCUUUGCAUGUGUGAGGCACUGGGUUCGAUCCUCAGUACAACA